GUUAUAUGGUCAAGCGAAUAAGCGCACACGGUGGAUGCCUUGGCGGUCAGAGGCGAUGAAGGACGUGGCAGCCUGCGAAAAGUAUCGGGGAGCUGGCAACAAGCUUUGAUCCGGUAAUGUCCGAAUGGGGAAACCCACCCGCUUGCGGGUAUCCUGCAGUGAAUACAUAGCUGCUGGAAGCGAACCUGGUGAACUGAAAUAUCUAAGUAACCAGAGGAAAAGAAAUCAACCGAGAUUCCGUAAGUAGCGACGAGCGAACGCGGACUAGCCCUUAAGCUGGAUUGGUUCUAGGAAAACGCUCUGGAAAGAGCGGCCAUAGAAGGUGAUAGCCCUGUAUCUGAAAGGGCCAUUCCAGUGAAGACGAGUAGGGCGGGGCACGUGAAACCCUGUCUGAACAUGGGGGGACCAUCCUCCAAGGCUAAAUACUACUGACCGACCGAUAGUGAACCAGUACCGUGAGGGAAAGGCGAAAAGAACCCCGGAGAGGGGAGUGAAAUAGAACCUGAAACCGUGUGCGUACAAGCAGUAGGAGCUCCGCAAGGAGUGACUGCGUACCUUUUGUAUAAUGGGUCAGCGACUUACUGUUCGUGGCAAGCUUAACCGUAUAGGGGAGGCGAAGGGAAACCGAGUCUGAUAAGGGCGCAUAGUCGCGGGCAGUAGACCCGAAACCGGGUGAUCUAGUCAUGCCCAGGGUGAAGGUGCGGUAACACGCACUGGAGGCCCGAACCCACUCCCGUUGCAAAGGUAGGGGAUGAGGUGUGAUUAGGAGUGAAAAGCUAAUCGAACCCGGAGAUAGCUGGUUCUCCUCGAAAGCUAUUUAGGUAGCGCCUCAUAUGUAUCCUCUCGGGGGUAGAGCACUGUUAUGGCUAGGGGGUCAUCGCGACUUACCAAACCAUUGCAAACUCCGAAUACCGAGACGGACUGUAUGGGAGACACACGGCGGGUGCUAACGUCCGUCGUGAAAAGGGAAACAACCCAGACCCACAGCUAAGGUCCCAAAUUCACUGCUAAGUGGAAAACCAUGUGGAAAGGCACAGACAGCCAGGAGGUUGGCUUAGAAGCAGCCACCCUUUAAAGAAAGCGUAAUAGCUCACUGGUCGAGUCGGUCUGCGGGGAAGAUUUAACGGGGCUAAGCAGUGAACCGAAGCUUGGGGUGCAUAACUUUGUUAUGCGCGGUAGAGGAGCGUUCCGUAAGCCGUUGAAGGUGGAUUGAGAAGUCUGCUGGAGGUAUCGGAAGUGCGAAUGCUGACAUGAGUAACGAUAAUGCGGGUGAAAAACCCGCACGCCGAAAGCCCAAGGUUUCCUUGCGCAACGUUAAUCGGCGCAGGGUGAGUCGGCCCCUAAGGCGAGGACGAAAGUCGUAGUCGAUGGGAAGCAGGUUAAUAUUCCUGCACCUCGCGUAAGUGCGAUGGAGGGACGGAGAAGGUUAGGUGUACCAGGCGUUGGUUGUCCUGGGGAAAGGCGGUAGGUUUGGAUCUUUGGCAAAUCCGGGAUCCUUUAAGACCGAGCACCGAGACGAGCCUUUAUGGCGAAGUCACUGAUACCACGCUUCCAGGAAAAGCUCCUAAGCUUCAGCUUACGCAGACCGUACCGUAAACCGACACAGGUGGGUAGGAUGAGAAUUCUCAGGCGCUUGAGAGAACUCGGGUGAAGGAACUAGGCAACAUGGCACCGUAACUUCGGGAGAAGGUGCACCCUUUUUGGUGGCUCGUGCGAGCUAUAGCUGAAGAGGGUCGCAGUAACCAGGCCGCUGCGACUGUUUAUCAAAAACACAGCACUCUGCAAACACGAAAGUGGACGUAUAGGGUGUGACGCCUGCCCGGUGCUGGAAGGUUAAUUGAUGGGGUCAGCCGCAAGGCGAAGCUCUUGAUCGAAGCCCCAGUAAACGGCGGCCGUAACUAUAACGGUCCUAAGGUAGCGAAAUUCCUUGUCGGGUAAGUUCCGACCUGCACGAAUGGCGUAACGACAGCGGCGCUGUCUCCACCCGAGACUCAGUGAAAUUGAAAUCGCUGUGAAGAUGCAGCGUUCCCGUGGCAAGACGGAAAGACCCCGUGAACCUUUACUAUAGCUUUACACUGAACGUUGAGUUCGUCUGUGUAGGAUAGGUGGGAGCUAUGAAACCAUGGCGCUAGCUGUGGUGGAGCCAUCCUUGAAAUACCACCCUGUCGUGCUUGACGUUCUAACCUGGGCCCAUUAUCUGGGUCGGGGACCGUGUAUGGUGGGUAGUUUGACUGGGGCGGUCUCCUCCUAAAGAGUAACGGAGGAGCUCGAAGGUACGCUCAGCGCGGUCGGACAUCGCGCACUGUGUGCAAAGGCAUAAGCGUGCUUGACUGCAAGAUCGACGGAUCAAGCAGGUAGGAAACUAGGACUUAGUGAUCCGGUGGUUCUGUAUGGAAGGGCCAUCGCUCAACGGAUAAAAGGUACUCCGGGGAUAACAGGCUGAUACCGCCCAAGAGUUCAUAUCGACGGCGGUGUUUGGCACCUCGAUGUCGGCUCAUCACAUCCUGGGGCUGUAGUCGGUCCCAAGGGUAUGGCUGUUCGCCAUUUAAAGUGGUACGCGAGCUGGGUUCAGAACGUCGUGAGACAGUUCGGUCCCUAUCUGCCAUGGGCGUUGGAGAUUUGAGAGGGGCUGCUCCUAGUACGAGAGGACCGGAGUGGACGAACCUCUGGUGUUCCGGUUGUCACGCCAGUGGCAUUGCCGGGUAGCUAUGUUCGGAAGCGAUAACCGCUGAAAGCAUCUAAGCGGGAAGCGCGCCUCAAGAUGAGAUCUCCCGG
rnacentral:rRNA from 1 species